rnacentral:misc_RNA from 1 species
ACAAUAGUUUUGACGGCAAUUGUAUUUUGAAAUAUACGAUUCAAUAAAUGUCACAAAAACGCGCGCCGAAAUUUGCGUCGUGUGACCGUGUGACGUAUGUUAUACGCAGUCAACUUUAGUCACCUUGAGUUAUCGGUCGCGAGUCGCAGAUCGUCCGGGAAUGUUGGCGUUACAAGAAGCUGAGAGCUCGUAUCAACGUAUUACUCGAUCGUGUCGCAGUAUUAAAAAUGCCCCUCGUUCCCCGUAAUUGUUACAAUUAACAUUUAUCGAUCCGCGCGAUUAAUGACUGGUAAGCCUAGAAAAAAAAUCCUAACCUAAAUUAAUCGUCUUCUAAAUACUUCUCACUCGAAACAGAUAUAUCUCGCGCAUCACGCUUUAAAAUUAUUAUUCAGAUAUAAUUUGCUCGUCAUUUUCGGAUUGAAAACAUGGAAUCAAAUGAAUCGAAUGACAAUGAUUCAAGUUCAUUAUUGAAUGAAAAAGCGUGAUGUACAUAGAUCGUGUUACAUAUCGUAAUAUUUAUCUCACGCGCACAAUAUUGAAUUUUGAAUUAUCUAUAUAUCGUUAGAUGGCACUUUAGCCAUUGACUCAUUUUUGUAGAAACAUGUAGUAUCAAGGUGAAAUUAUCGAGAUAUAUCUUUCUUAAACUUUCUUUGAUUAAAAAAGCAUCGCAGAUGUGGGACAGAUCGAAUUAUUUGUGUGCUAUUUGUUAACAUCUCGGAGGGCGAUGACAGACUUGGCCGUUCACUUAUCGAGGGCCAAGAAGAUCAUAGCUUUCGCAUUGUUUUUUUGUUGUAUUAUAAUAAAGUGCGCGUUAUAUAUGUGAUUGAUAAGAUCGGGAGUGUCGUACAAAGUGUCGCGCGAUUGUCGUAUUCUAUUGAUUAGUGCGCGUGCGAUGCAAUUAACAGUAUUUUCGUGAGUGUCCUGUGAGUGCCAUGACGAAGCAGCGAGAGAUGAACAAGAGAGAGGAAGAAGAGGAGCAGGAGAAGGAGAUCGAGGAGAUAUCGAAUUACGAUGAAGCAGCCGUGAGAGAUCAAUUCGGCAAACUCUCGUCUCGCGCAUAAAACCAAUGAAAGGGAAGAUGUUUUGGGCCUAAAGUGUAUUUUCCAUUCAACCUUCUCGUCGGAAUGUUGUACGCCUACUGCAUUCCCACGAGUGAAAGCUUAAAUGAGAAUCCCUGGGUUUUAUUGUCGACUCUUCACGGAGCGUACCACGAUGCGCCCUUACGUCCGACCCUUGUCAAGGCAGCAUGGCAUCGUGGGUUAACGUGACCCAAGCACGACGUUCAUCCGUAUUUCCUACCUGGGCCCAGGUAUCGGACCAGGCCCCACAAGUAGAUCGCGCGAUCCAGGAUUGAGCAAUGGGAGUCUCGGCGAGAAAUUUCGUCUUAACGUCUUAACCGCCUUGAAAGAGCGGAGUCCUUGAAGCCUGAAGCCGGUCGACCGACGCGGCGCAGUACAAUCUUAUCCACACGCGCUCGUUGCGAUAGCGCGUGGCUAAUCUGCCGUGGACUUUACUCCUCUAAACUCGUCGUUUGGGUCAGCCUCCAGAAUAGCGACCAAUUUCGACAACGGGGUUUCUUCGAACGCCAAGAAUCGUCUUUGACGUAACUUCGAGAAUACGUCAGCGAUGUAUUUUGAUAUAAGCAAAACUUUAUAUAAUAUAUAAUAUAUAUAAAUUUGGAAAUAUAUAUCAUAGAUUAAAUUGCCGCUAACGUGACGAUCUGUUGGAACGAUAGUGUUUCGACCUUGGCCGCGGUUCAUGUAAAAUCCGAGGACCCAUCUCCGGUCGCGUCCCCGAGGACAUUUGUCAAAUCGGGACGUUCGAUCCAGCGCGCACGUGAUAACUGUGACGAAAGGGAAACGUCAGUAUACGAAUGGGCUUCCACAUCAAGACAUAGUACUGAGAAAGUAGGAGAAAGGGAGAAAUAUGUGCGUCAGAUCCGUCUUUCUAGACGUUGUAUGUAAGAGAAAGAGAGAGAGAGAA